UUAUAGGGAGUGGGUAUAGGAGCAGUUAGAGGAGGAGUUAUAGGGAGUGGGUAUAGGAGCAUUUAGAGGAGUAGUUAUAGGGAGUGGGUAUAGGAGCAGUUAUAGGAGGAGUUAUAAGGAGUAGGUAUAGGAGCAGUUAGAGGAGGAGUUAUAGGGAGUGGGUAUAGGAGCAGUUAAAGGAGGAGUUAUAGGGAGUGGGUAUAGGAGCAGCUAGAGGAGGAGUUAUAGGGAGUGGGUAUAGGAGCAGUUAGAGGACUUAUAGGGAGUGGGUAUAGGAGCAGUUAAAGGAGGAGUUAUAGGGAGUGGGUAUAGGAGCAGUUAGAGGAGGAGCUAUAGGGAGCGGGUAUAGGAGCAGUUAGAUGAGGAGUUAUAAGGAGUAGGUAAAGGAGCAUUUAGAGGAGGAGUUAUAGGGAGUGGGUAUAGGAGCAGUUAUA